GUGGUAAUGCCGGAUGCUCCAUCACACCGCAUGGUGUGUUGGGAAAGCCUUUGCGGCAUGGGAUGGGGUCGCGUCCUAUCAGCUUGAUGGCGGGGUAACGGCCCACCAUGGCUUCGACGGGUAGCCGGCCUGAGAGGGCGACCGGCCACAUUGGGACUGAGAUACGGCCCAGACUCCUACGGGAGGCAGCAGUGGGGAAUAUUGCACAAUGGGCGCAAGCCUGAUGCAGCGACGCCGCGUGAGGGAUGGAGGCCUUCGGGUUGUAAACCUCUUUUGUUAGGGAGCAAGGCAUUUUGUGUUGAGUGUACCUUUCGAAUAAGCACCGGCUAACUACGUGCCAGCAGCCGCGGUAAUACGUAGGGUGCAAGCGUUAUCCGGAAUUAUUGGGCGUAAAGGGCUCGUAGGCGGUUCGUCGCGUCCGGUGUGAAAGUCCAUCGCUUAACGGUGGAUUCGCGCCGGGUACGGGCGGGCUUGAGUGCGGUAGGGGAGACUGGAAUUCCCGGUGUAACGGUGGAAUGUGUAGAUAUCG
rnacentral:rRNA from 1 species